rnacentral:rRNA from 1 species
UACGUAGGGUGCAAGCGUUGUCCGGAAUUAUUGGGCGUAAAGGGCUCGUAGGCGGUCUGUCGCGUCGGGAGUGAAAACUCAGGGCUUAACCCUGAGCCUGCUUCCGAUACGGGCAGACUAGAGGUAUGCAGGGGAGAACGGAAUUCAUGGUGUAGCAGUGAAAUGCGUAGAGAUCAUGAGGAAGACCAGUGGCGAAGGCGGGUCUCUGGACAGUUCCUGACACUGAGACACGAAGGCCAGGGGAGCAAACGGG